UACAUAUUUAAUUAUAGUAUUACUAAAUUUAUUUUAAUAUUACAUGAUUUUUCAAUAAAACCAUUUAAUAGUUUUCUCAUACUCGAAGAUUUUUUUUUGUAAUCCAAACUCAAAGUAUGAGUAUAUAAUAGUCGUGGAUUAUUUAAUGAUUUGAGUAAGUUAUUUUCUUAAAUUGAUAUUAUAUUCUCUUAAAUUUAUAUUUAUACAAUAAAUCAUUGAGGUUGAAGAAUACGUAAGGAGCUCCAUCAUCAAAUUCUUAGGUUUCUAGAAUCCAAAACUACCCUCUCUUAAGUUGGUUUAAUACAAACGUUAUUUAUGAAUUAUGUGUAUGAUGCAUUGUUGAGAAUGUUGUUAGAAAAAAUAUUUUUAAAAUUAAAAGGAAUUGUUUAUUGUAUAAGUGAAUAAUUAGAUAAAUAAAAAUUAUAUUUAAAUUAAACAAUACGAAAAAAAUCCGAAAAUACCGCGGCGUAGCGCAGGUGAUCACCUAGUGUUAAUAAUUGAAAAUUAAGAACUUCUAUACAUUGUUUGUUACCUAACCAUUCUUC
rnacentral:sRNA from 1 species